rnacentral:lncRNA from 1 species
GUCCCUGUGAUGUGGCAUUUGUAUUCCUAGGAUCAUACUGUGGAGGUUAACAUAAGUCCAGAUAGAUUGGCAGUUGACUUCCCUGUUUUGUUUUUUUGUUUUAUUCUGAUGGAGAUUAGUGUAAGUCCAUAGAGUGGCUUCUGAUAUCCUUACUUGUUUUAGGAGACAGGUAUAAGACCAUUGAGUGGCAUCCAGUAUCCGCUUUUAUUGACUUUCAUCUGUUACCAUGUUCAUAUUAUUGCUCAUUUGUAGCCUAUUCCUAAGGACCCACUUGAAUCAUCUUCUAUAUGAUUUCAAGAGGUGGACC